UAAUUACUGAACACUAGCAAAUGCUGCGCUCUGAUGAUGUGUGCAGCAAGGCUGAUAAUAUGCUUUUUAUAGCAUAGAAACAAAUAUGAUUUUUAGAUGGAUUUAGCACCUGUGUCAAAGAAACAAGUACCAAGAACGAGCAGGAGAGAGGAGGGGACCAGUCAAGCCUCACAGCAUGGGAAGAUGGGAAAAGGACUGAACAGCAGAGAAUAAGAGGAUGUGAGCUGUGCUUGCAAUGAAAUCACUGGGAAUUCUGCCAUGAAAGCAGAACUGAGUUGUUCUUUCAGCAUUUCAGUGCCCAUCUCUGCAUUAGCCAGGCGCCACCGUGAGAUUAAGGAGCUCUGCAGUGACAUUCUCAACACGGACUGUUCAAAGGUCAGCAGAGCCUUUCAUUCUGGGAAAGCCCAGA
rnacentral:lncRNA from 1 species